rnacentral:rRNA from 1 species
UGGGGAAUUUUGGACAAUGGGCGAAAGCCUGAUCCAGCCAUGCCGCGUGAGUGAAGAAGGCCUUCGGGUUGUAAAGCUCUUUUAGUCGGAAAGAAAAGAUCAUAAUGAACAAUUAUGAUUCAUGACGGUACCGACAGAAAAAGCACCGGCUAACUACGUGCCAGCAGCCGCGGUAAUACGUAGGGUGCGAGCGUUAAUCGGAAUUACUGGGCGUAAAGGGUGCGCAGGCGGUCUUGCAAGUCAGAUGUGAAAGCCCCGGGCUUAACCUGGGAAUUGCGUUUGAAACUACAAGACUAGAGUGCAGCAGAGGGGAGUGGAAUUCCAUGUGUAGCAGUGAAAUGCGUAGAGAUGUGGAAGAACGCCGAUGGCGAAGGCAGCUCCCUGGGUUGACACUGACGCUCAUGCACGAAAGCGUGGGGAGCAAACA